rnacentral:lncRNA from 1 species
GCGGCCUGGACAGCCUCGCACCGGCCAAUCAAGGAGAACCUCAAGAACAACUUCCUCUAUGACUUCCUCUACGGCGGUGUCGGCCUAACAGCUCCACGGGAGUGUGGACGAGGAGCUGAGCAAAAAAAUUCCAGAAGUGAGAUGAAAUGAACAUCCUGGCGACAUAUCAUCCAGCAGACAAAGACUAUGGUUUAUGAAAAUAGAUGAACCAAGCACUUCUUCCCAUCGUAUUAUAGGUGAUGAUGAAGAUGUAUGUAGUGAUACAGAGACCACUGAAACCAUGGAACGAGAUAUCUUAGCUAAGAAAUUCGCUGCUGCUUGAAGGCUCGGAGCCAAAGUAUAGGGUUCAGGAAUAAGAUAGCAGCAGAGAGGAGGAUAGUGACCUCUCACCUGAAGAACAAGAAAAAAAGCGACAAUUUGAAAUGAAAAGGAAGUUUCACUACAAUGAAGGACUCAAUAUCAUCAAACUAGCUAGACAAUUUCAAAAGACCUAAAUGAUGACGAAGAUGAAGAAAUGUUAGAGACUGUAGAUGGAGAAAGCAUGAAUACGGAAAAAUCAAAUCAAGGAUCUACUGCAAGUGACCAACAGCAAAAGAAAUCACGAAGUUCAUAG